rnacentral:rRNA from 1 species
UACAGAGGUCCCGAGCGUUGUUCGGAUUCACUGGGCGUAAAGGGUGCGUAGGUGGUGAGGUAAGUCGGAUGUGAAAACUCCAAGCUCAACUUGGAGCCUGCAUCCGAAACUGCGAUGACUUGAGUCUGGUAGGGGAACACGGAAUACCUGGUGUAGCGGUGAAAUGCUUAGAUAUCAGGUGGAACACCAGUGGCGAAGGCGGUGUUCUGGGCCAGUACUGACGCUGGAUGCGCGAAAGCGUGGGGAGCGAACAGG